rnacentral:rRNA from 1 species
ACAAUGGGCGAAAGCCUGAUCCAGCCAUGCCGCGUGAGUGAUGAAGGCCCUAGGGUUGUAAAGCUCUUUUGUGCGGGAAGAUACUGACGGUACCGCACGAAUAAGCCACGGCUAACUUCGUGCCAGCAGCCGCGGCAAUACGAAGGGGGCUAGCGUUGCUCGGAAUCACUGGGCGUAAAGGGUGCGUAGGCGGGUUUCUAAGUCAGAGGUGAAAGCCUGGAGCUCAGCUCCAGAACUGCCUUUGAUACUGGAAGUCUUGAGUUCGGGAGAGGUCGGUGGAACUGCGAGUGUAGAGGUGAAAUUCGUAGAUAUUCGCAAGAACACCAGGUGCGAAGGCUGCUCACUGGCCCGAUACUGACGCUGAGGCACGAAAGCGUGGGGA